rnacentral:rRNA from 1 species
GACGAACGCUGGCGGCGUGCCUAAUACAUGCAAGUCGAACGAACCGCGACUAAGUGCUUGCACUAAGUCAAGGUGAGUGGCGAACGGGUGAGUAACACGUGGGUAACCUACCUCAUAGUGGGGGAUAACAGUCGGAAACGACUGCUAAUACCGCAUAGGACAUAGGAUCACAUGAUCCAGUGAGGAAAGGUGGCGCAAGCUAUCGCUAAGAGAUGGACCCGCGGUGCAUUAGCUAGUUGGUAGGGUAAAGGCCUACCAUGGCGAUGAUGCAUAGCCGACCUGAGAGGGUGAUCGGCCACAUUGGGACUGAGACACGGCCCAAACUCCUACGGGAGGCAGCAGUAGGGAAUCUUCCGCAAUGGACGCAAGUCUGACGGAGCAACGCCGCGUGAGUGAAGAAGGUCUUCGGAUCGUAAAGCUCUGUUGUUAGAGAAGAACAGCGCAUAGAGUAACUGCUAUGCGUGUGACGGUAUCUAACCAGAAAGCCACGGCUAACUACGUG